AUACGUGGGGGGCAAGCGUUGUCCGGAAUUACUGGGCGUAAAGGGUGCGUAGGCGGAUAUGCAAGUCCGAUGUGAAAUGUUACGGCUUAACCGUGGAGUUGCAUUGGAAACUGUGUAUCUAGAGUGCAGGAGAGGGAAGCGGAAUUCCUAGUGUAGCGGUGAAAUGCGUAGAUAUUAGGAGGAACACCAGUGGCGAAGGCGGCUUCCUGGACUGUAACUGACGCUGAGGCACGAAAGCUGGGGCAGCGAACAGGAUUAGAUACCCUGGUAGUCCCAGCCGUAAACGAUGGGUACUAGGUGUUGUCACUUCAUUGUGGCAGUGCCGGAGUUAACGCAAUAAGUACCCCGCCUGGGGAGUACGGCCGCAAGGCUGAA
rnacentral:rRNA from 1 species